GUCAAAGCACCAAGCGGUGGCUCUCCGUGUCGGUUCUGACUUCUCCGCUUUCUAUCAAUGCGACAUGUUAGCCUACCAAGACACUCUCUACGUACACUCCAACCGUCAGUUCUUUGUCAAGUGCCUCAUCGCCGGAACCGUCGAUUUUAUUUUCGGAAACGCCGCCGUUGUUCUCCAAGACUGUGACAUCCACGCUCGUCGACCAAACUCCGGCCAGAAAAACAUGGUCACGGCCCAAGGACGGACAGACCCUAACCAGAACACUGGGAUAGUUAUCCAAAAAUGUAGGAUCGGUGCCACGUCGGAUUUACAGUCAGUGAAAAGUAGUUUUCCA
rnacentral:lncRNA from 1 species